ensembl:miRNA microRNA 92a-1
AGGUGGGGAUCGGUAGCAAUGCUGUGUUCCUCCAGGUAUUGCACUUGUCCCGGCCUGU